rnacentral:rRNA from 1 species
GAUGAACGCUGGCGGCGUGCCUAAUACAUGCAAGUCGAGCGAACAGACGAGGAGCUUGCUCCUCUGACGUUAGCGGCGGACGGGUGAGUAACACGUGGAUAACCUACCUAUAAGACUGGGAUAACUUCGGGAAACCGGAGCUAAUACCGGAUAAUAUAUUGAACCGCAUGGUUCAAUAGUGAAAGACGGUUUUGCUGUCACUUAUAGACGGAUCCGCGCCGCAUUAGCUAGUUGGUAAGGUAACGGCUUACCAAGGCAACGAUGCGUAGCCGACCUGAGAGGAUGAUCGGCCACACUGGAACUGAGACACGGUCCAGACUCCUACGGGAGGCAGCAGUAGGGAAUCUUCCGCAAUGGGCGAAAGCCUGACGGAGCAACGCCGCGUGAGUGAUGAAGGUCUUCGGAUCGUAAAGCUCUGUUAUUAGGGAAGAACAAAUGUGUAAGUAACUAUGCACGUCUUGACGGUACCUAAUCAGAAAGCAACGGCUAACUACGUG